UACGUAGGGAGCAAGCGUUGUCCGGAAUCAUUGGGCGUAAAGCGCGCGUAGGUGGCUACAUAAGUCCGUUGUGAAAGUCAAAGGCUCAACCUUUGAAAGCCGAUGGAUACUGUGCGGCUAGAGUACGGAAGAGGCGAGUGGAAUUCCUGGUGUAGCGGUGGAAUGCGCAGAUAUCAGGAGGAACACCAAUAGCGAAGGCAGCUCGCUGGGACGUUACUGACACUGAGGCGCGAAAGCGUGGGGAGCGAACAGG
rnacentral:rRNA from 1 species